CACCAAGUAUUUGACAAAUCGUCAUAGUCAAUUUUUGUUUCUUAAUUUCAUUGGAGAUUGAUUAUCGAAGUGUAAUAUCGUUCAAACGAAAUUCUAAAGAACUUAUUGAUUUUUUUCUCAGCAUUGUGGUACGUUAAUUUCAUUUCGUUACGGUUUAAUACAUAUAUUUGGUUUUUCGUAUAACGGCUUGAGAUAGACGAGUGUCGAUUCGGAACCGCUUUCGCUUCCCA
rnacentral:lncRNA from 1 species